rnacentral:rRNA from 1 species
UACGUAGGUGGCGAGCGUUGUCCGGAUUUACUGGGCGUAAAGGGAGCGUAGGCGGACUUUUAAGUGAGAUGUGAAAUACCCGGGCUCAACUUGGGUGCUGCAUUUCAAACUGGAAGUCUAGAGUGCAGGAGAGGAGAAUGGAAUUCCUAGUGUAGCGGUGAAAUGCGUAGAGAUUAGGAAGAACACCAGUGGCGAAGGCGACUUACUGGGCCGUAACUGACGCUGAGGCGCGAAAGCGUGGGGAGCGAACAGGAUUAGAUACCCCGUACGUCCUCGA